UGAUCUCUAUUGGAAAGGAUCCAUGUGUUACAUCCCACUAUCUGGAUGACAUCACAACUGCUUCUAGUCCUUGAGAGUCCUGAGGGUGAUCAGCCGAAGGAAUAGGCUGCUUCUGCCAAUCAUAGUGCUGCAAAGAUGCAGUUCUAGUUCUAGUGAUGAGAGGGAGAGAGGAGAGUAAGCAGCAAGGAAAGAACUGACUGUAGCCCAACAAGACGCAGCCAGGGAGACGCAAUCAGCAGCUGGUGUUCGUGAGAUUAAAUAGUUUUCACAUCAUUUUGUGUGUGCAUGUGUGUGAGUGUGUGAGAGUGUAUGUGUGUGCUAUUCCCUGAAUCCUCCCUGGUGGAAUCCUCAUUUCCAUAGAGGAAGGUGCAUUUUAACGUUGUGUUGCACAGAGGUGUGAAUCAUUCCAGCUGGCUGAAUGCUUAGAAAACGACAAUGACUGUUACGUGUGUCUAUCCAUGCUGGUAUAAAACAGAAAGGGCUUUGCUUUAAGGAGUUCAGUAUUUUGCUGGCUUUGUCAUUGAAUAAGCUGACGCUGAGGACACACCGGUAGCCCCCCCAAACUCUACCGGAUAUACAGACAAUAGGGCUUAUUCAUUGGAGGCAUCCCUGAACUCAACUGAAAAGUGCAACAUUGCUCUUCAAGGUAAUGAUCACCAUUAGAAAACAAGAAAUCCUGGUGGCAAGACAAGUUCAUCGUCCAGACUUCUAUACAUGUGUGCUCUUGACUGAACUUAUUUAAUAGACAUUAAUAUAAAUGUAGUGCAAUGGUCACAUAAGCACUUACAGAGGAGUGCAAGUUCACUUCUAUGUUCCACUCACCGAGUCAGUUUAGGUGACGGAAUAGGUGGAAAGACGCUGCCAUUUUUGAAAACAUAAAACAUGAAUCAUAUUGUAAAGUUGCGCAGGAGCUUCCGAACACUAGUACUUCUCUUAGCCACUUUCUGUCUUAUAAGUAUAGUGAUUUCUGCCUACUAUUUAUAUUCUGGUCACAAGCAGACAAUAGUACUUAUUGAGACAACAGCUCAAGCUGACUGUGAAGACAUAAACCUGUUACCAUACAGGACAGUCGAGAUGAGGACAGUUAAGCCAAUUAGUACUGGUACUGCUGCCAUGACAGAUCUCACAGUGUUACUCUUUGUGGAGAGCCAAUACUCUCAGCUUGGACAAGACAUUGUAGCCAUCUUGGAAUCCAGCAGAUUUCAGUACCACAUAGUAAUUGCACCUGGUAAAGGAGACAUCCCUCCACUCACAAAAGAUGGCAAAGGUAAAUAUGCAAUCAUUAUCUAUGAAAACAUCUUAAAGUAUGUAGCAAUGGACUCUUGGAAUCGAGAACUCCUCGAAAAAUACUGCAUUGAUUACAGCGUCAGCAUUAUUGCGUUCCACAAAGCUAAUGAAAAUAGCUUGACAAAUACCAAACUGAAUGGUUUUCCUUUACUUCUCUACAACAAUGUAGCUCUGAAAGACUGUUUUGUAAAUCCAUCAUCUCCACUGCUUCAUAUAACAAAAGCAACAGUUGCAAAAGGUCCUUUGCCUGGGGAAGACUGGACGGUUUUCCAGUACAACCACUCAACAUACCAACCUGUGAUUUUAUCUGAAUUGCAAUCAUCUGAGCAACAUGAACCUUCUUUAUCCAUAUCUUCCCUUCAAGCCACUGUAAUCCAGGACCUGGGACUCCAUGAUGGGAUUCAACGAGUUUUGUUUGGAAACAACUUGAAUUUUUGGUUGCAUAAAUUAAUUUUUAUAGAUGCCAUAUCUUUUUUGACUGGGAAGAAACUUAGUUUAUCUUUGGACAGAUUCAUUCUUGUAGACAUAGAUGAUAUAUUUGUUGGAAAGGAAGGCACUAGGAUGAAUGUAAAUGAUGUGAAGGCAUUACUAAACACUCAAAACAUAUUGCGUACUCAGGUUGCAAAUUUCACCUUCAAUCUUGGAUUUUCAGGGAAGUUCUAUCACACAGGUACUAUUGAGGAAGAUAAAGGAGAUGAUCUUUUAUUGGCAUCAGUGAAUGAGUUUUGGUGGUUUCCUCAUAUGUGGAGUCACAUGCAGCCUCAUCUUUUUCAUAAUGAGUCUUCUUUGGCAGAACAAAUGAUUCUAAACAAAGAAUUUGCACAGCAACAUGGCAUUCCAACAAACAUGGGUUAUGCAGUGGCUCCCCAUCACUCAGGUGUCUACCCAGUACAUGUACAGCUUUAUGAAGCCUGGAAAAGGGUAUGGGGCAUUAAAGUUACAAGCACUGAAGAAUACCCUCAUCUGAAACCUGCCCGGUACAGACAUGGCUUUGUGCACAAUGGGAUAAUGGUCUUGCCUCGACAAACCUGUGGUUUAUUUACACACACCAUCUUCUAUAAAGAGUAUCCUGGUGGUCCCACUGAACUGGACAAAAGUAUUAAAGGAGGAGAGCUCUUUAUGACAGUGCUGCUAAAUCCUAUCAGCAUCUUUAUGACCCACUUGUCUAAUUAUGGGAAUGACCGCCUUGGAUUGUACACAUUUGUUAAUCUUGCUAACUUUGUACAAACUUGGACCAAUUUAAAACUGAAAACUUUACCACCACUACAACUAGCUCAUAAAUAUUUUGAACUCUUCCCUGAGCAAAAGGAUCCUCUCUGGCAGAAUCCAUGUGAUGAUAGAAGGCACAGAGACAUCUGGUCUAGAGAUAAAACCUGUGAUCGGCUACCAAAAUUUCUCGUGGUAGGACCUCAGAAGACUGGCACAACUGCACUUUACCUAUUUCUACUAAUGCAUCCCUACAUCAUUAGUAACUUUCCUAAUCCAAAGACCUUUGAGGAAGUGCAAUUUUUUAUUGGAAACAACUAUCACAAGGGGAUUGACUGGUAUAUGGAUUUUUUCCCUUACACAUCUAACAGCACUUCAGAUUUUCUGUUUGAGAAGAGUGCAAAUUAUUUUCAUUCAGAGGAAGUACCCAAAAGAGCUGCAUCACUCCUCCCAAAAGCAAAGGUUAUCACCAUACUUAUUGAUCCAUCUGACCGAGCAUACUCUUGGUACCAGCAUCAACGAUCUCAUGAAGAUUCCACUGCUCUAAAAUAUAGCUUCUAUGAAGUGAUUACAGCAGAACAUACAGAUUCCCUGGAGUUACAAGCCCUACAGAAAAAAUGCCUUGUCCCCGGAUGGUACGCAAUACAUUUAGAACGAUGGUUAACAUACUUCCCACCCUCACAGCUGUUAAUUAUUGAUGGGCAACAUCUGAGGAGUGAUCCAGCUAUUGUCAUGGAUGAUGUUCAAACAUUUCUAGGAGUCUCUCCUCAUUAUAACUACUCAGAUACUCUAACGUUUAGUCCAGAAAAAGGCUUCUGGUGUCAGUUAUUGGAAGGUGGUAAAACAAAAUGUCUUGGAAAAAAUAAGGGUCGCAAAUAUCCAACAAUGGAUAUAGAGUCAAGAAUUUUUCUCUCAAGCUAUUACCAGGACCACAACAUUGAACUGUCCAAACUUCUACAUAGACUGGGACUACCAUUGCCAUCCUGGCUGAGACAGGAGCUCCAGAAAGUGAGAUAGCAUUGAAGACAUCGACUAAUGCACAAUUUCAGCCUUGUGGUUUCUCCGCUAAGAAAAAAAAAAUAGAAACAAUUCUCUUUCCUCACACUUACAAAUAUUAGUCACAGUUCUCAGAACAAUUCACAAAACCCAAGAAUACUUAUUUAUGCACAGGGUGCCACUUAUGAGCACUAUUACUGUCAGAUCAAUCUCAGUACCUGAGCUGAGAUUUGCUGUAAUUGAAGGUAAUAUCCUACAUUUAACAUUGGACUCACACUGCAUCCAUUUCCUUGAUAACAAGAGACUUCCAGUAACUGUUUUAUGAUUGGAAUCCUUCAUUUAAUACAACAUGCACUACUGUCUGAGAGAACCAAAGCAGAAGUAGAUGCAGUGGAUUUGAAGUGUAUAAAUUUAAUCCAGACUUCAACAUGUGGGCUACGCUAAAUAAAAAAAAAGAAACUGAAGAUCUCCAGCUGUUUGCUGUAUAAAAAGUCUUCUUGAGAACCAUUUAUAUUAUGUAAAUGAGGGAUGAAAAAAGUGUAAAUUUUUUCACUUAUUGAGAUAUAUUUAUUUUUUAUUGCAAUUGUAAUUAUCGUGUAUUUACUAUAUAUAAACAAAAUUUAAUGCAAAAAAAACUCUGAGAAAAUUCUUUUUAUUUAUGCUUUUUAUUAAAAUUGGUAUGUCAUAUAUUCUCCAAUAAAACAUUUUUUUGUUGAUA